rnacentral:rRNA from 1 species
UCCGGAAACGGAAGCUAAUACCGGAUAUGACGUACGGAGGCAUCUCCUGUGCGUGGAAAGAAUUUCGGUCAAGGAUGGACUCGCGGCCUAUCAGGUAGUUGGUGAGGUAACGGCUCACCAAGCCUACGACGGGUAGCCGGCCUGAGAGGGUGACCGGCCACACUGGGACUGAGACACGGCCCAGACUCCUACGGGAGGCAGCAGUGGGGAAUAUUGCACAAUGGGCGCAAGCCUGAUGCAGCAACGCCGCGUGAGGGACGACGGCCUUCGGGUUGUAAACCUCUUUUAGUAGGGAAGAAGCGAAAGUGACGGUACCUGCAGAAAAAGCACCGGCUAACUACGUGCCAGCAGCCGCGGUAAUACGUAGGGUGCAAGCGUUGUCCGGAAUUAUUGGGCGUAAAGAGCUCGUAGGCGGUUUGUCGCGUCUGCUGUGAAAACCCGAGGCUCAACCUCGGGCCUGCAGUGGGUACGGGCAGACUAGAGUGCGGUAGGGGAGAAUGGAAUUCCUGGUGUAGCGGUGGAAUGCGCAGAUAUCAGGAGGAACACCGAUGGCGAAGGCAGUUCUCUGGGCCGUAACUGACGCUGAGGAGCGAAAGCGUGGGGAGCGAACAGGAUUAGAUACCCUGGUAGUCCACGCCGUAAACGUUGGGCG